rnacentral:rRNA from 1 species
AUGACCGAGGCGUGCUGCAAAACUGCAAUCGUGCACACACUUCGCUUCCGCUCGUCGGAAACUCGACCGCGCGCGACUGCGGCCAUGGAUCCGGACACCGAGGUCGACUUCGACUUCUCGCCGUUCCUCAUCCGCUACAAGAGCGGCCGCGUCCACCGUCUCAUGGGCGCGUCGAGAGUCGACGCCGGCACGGAAGCCGCCACAGGCGUCACCUGCAAGGACGUCGUCAUCGACGCCGAUGCCGGCCUGGCCGCGCGGCUGUACCUGCCGAAGGACGUGCCCCGGUCCGAGAAGCUCCCCGUCCUCGUCUACUUCCACGGGGGCGCCUUCGCCGUCCACUCGGCCUUCUCCGGCACGCACUACCGCUUCCUCAACGCCCUCGUGGCCGCGGCCGGCGUCGUCGCCGUCUCCGUUGACUACCGCCUCGCGCCAGAACACCCGCUCCCGGCCGCCUACGACGACGCGUGGGCCGCGCUCAGCUGGGCCCUGGCGAGCUGCGGCCCCGCCGGGCGGGAGCCGUGGCUGGCCGAGCACGGCGACUCCGCGCGCGUCUUCGUCGCGGGCGACAGCGCCGGCGCCAACAUCGCACACAACAUGGCAACAAGGGCCGGCAGCAGCGAGAACGGGCUGCCGGCGAGCGCGGAGAUCGAGGGGCUGGUGCUCCUGCACCCGUACUUCCGCGGCAAGGAUCUGGUGCCGUCGGAGGGGGCGGACCCCAGGUUCCUGCAGAGGGUGGAGAGGUCGUGGGGCUUCGUGUGCGCGGGGAGGUACGGGACCGACCACCCGUUCAUCAACCCGCUGGCGAUGCCGGCGGAGGAGUGGGCGGCGCUCGGCUGCCGGCGAGCACUUGUCACUGUGGCGGAGCUGGACACGAUGCGGGACAGGGGCCGGAUGUACGUGGAGGCGCUGAGGGGGAGCGCGUGGACAGGGGAGGAGGCGGUGCUGUACCAGACCGACGGCGAGGGGCACGUCUACUUCCUGGAGAAGUCCGGCUGGGGCGACAAGGCGGAGAGGGAGAUGGGCGCCGUCGUCUCGUUCAUCAGGCGGAGCUAA